CCUACGGGAGGCAGCAGUGGGGAAUUUUGCGCAAUGCUCGUAAGAGUGACGCAGCGACGCCGCGUGAAUGACGAAGGCCUUCGGGUCGUAAAGUUCUUUCGACAGGGAAGAAAAUGCCUAUAAGUAACUGUGUAUGUAUUGACGGUACCUGUAUAAGCAGCCCCGGCUAACUCCGUGCCAGCAGCCGCGGUAAUACGGAGGGGGCGAGCGUUGUUCGGAGUGACUGGGCGUAAAGAGCACGUAGGCGGUGUUGUAAGUCAUUAGUCAAAGACUAGAGCUCAACUUUAGUAAGGCUAGUGAUACUAUAAUACUAGAGUAUCAGAGAGGAUUGCAGAAUUCCUGGUGUAGCGGUGAAAUGCGUAGAUAUCAGGAGGAAUACCGUUAGCGAAGGCGGCUUGCUGCAGCGGAACUGACGCUGAUGCUCGAAAGCGCGGGUAUCGAACAGGAUUAGAUACCCGUGUAGUC
rnacentral:rRNA from 1 species